rnacentral:lncRNA from 1 species
AAGAAAGGAAGGAGGAGAAUUUUCCUUUUUGGAAACAAAUUUAGGUCUUGAGGGGUGAUAUAUAUAGGUGAGAAAAGGAAAAGAAUGGGGAGAUUUUUUUUGGGGGGCAGAGCACACGGAAUUUUGGAAAAAAACAAGGGACUUCGAACGGAGAUCGGGCUGUCAUUUAAUCAUCAAGAGAGGAUUUUCUCUUUGACUUCAAAGGUUAGUUUUCUAUAUAGUACUUUUAUUUAGCUUAUUUCUUUAGUUUAAAU